GGGGAUAUAGCUCAGUGGUAGAGCGCGUGCUUAGCAUGCACGAGGUCCUGGGUUCGAUUCCCUGUAUCUCCA